AGAGUUUGAUCAUGGCUCAGGACGAACGCUGGCGGCGUGCUUAAUACAUGCAAGUCGAGCGAGGUUACUGUUUUGGAUCCCUUCGGGGUGAAGAAGCUUUAACCUAGCGGCGGACGGGUGAGUAACGCGUGGGUAACCUACCCCAAAGUCCGGGAUAACAGCGGGAAACCGCUGCUAAUACCGGAUGCCUUUACCUUGGGGCAUCUUGAGGUAAAGAAAGGCAACGCUUUGGGAUGGGCCCGCGUCCCAUUAGCUAGUUGGUGAGGUAACGGCUCACCAAGGCGACGAUGGGUAGCCGGCCUGAGAGGGUGGACGGCCACACUGGGACUGAGACACGGCCCAGACUCCUACGGGAGGCAGCAGUAGGGAAUAUUGCGCAAUGGACGGAAGUCUGACGCAGCGACGCCGCGUGAGCGAUGAAGGUCUUCGGAUCGUAAAGCUCUGUCCUUGGGGAAGAAGGCGAAAGCUUGACGGUACCCAAGAAGAAAGCCCCGGCUAACUACGUGCCAGCAGCCGCGGUAAUACGUAGGGGGCGAGCGUUGUCCGGAAUUACUGGGCGUAAAGGGUGCGUAGGCGGCCCUUUAAGUCGGAUGUGAAAGCCCGCGGCUUAACCGCGGAAUGGCAUUCGAAACUGGAGGGCUUGAGUGUCGGAGAGGGUAGUGGAAUUCCCAGUGUAGCGGUGAAAUGCGUAGAUAUUGGGAGGAACACCAGUGGCGAAGGCGACUACCUGGACGAUAACUGACGCUGAGGCACGAAAGCUAGGGGAGCAAACAGGAUUAGAUACCCUGGUAGUCCUAGCCGUAAACGAUGGGUACUAGGUGUGGGUGGUUUCGAUACCAUCCGUGCCGUAGUUAACGCAUUAAGUACCCCGCCUGGGGAGUACGUGCGCAAGCAUGAAACUUAAAUGAAUUGACGG
rnacentral:rRNA from 1 species